rnacentral:rRNA from 1 species
UUAUGCUAAUAAGAGCGUAUGGUGGAUGCCUUGGCACUAAGAGCCGAUGAAAGACGUGAUAAGCUGCGAAAAGCUUCGGGGAGGAGCAAAUAUCCAUUGAUCCGGAGAUUUCUGAAUGGGGAAACCUACUUGAGAAGACCUCAAGUAUCCACAGCCCAAUCCAUAAGCUGUGGAAGGGAACCCGGUGAACUGAAACAUCUAAGUAGCCGGAGGAAGAGAAAACAACAUGUGAUUCCGUAAGUAGCGGCGAGCGAACGCGGAAGAGCCCAAACCGGAGUGCGUGCACUCCGGGGUUCGGACUGCAGAAUCGAUGAGUGAGCCUAGUAGAAUGGUUUUGGGAAAGCCAGCCAGAGAGGGUGAAAGCCCCGUACACGAAAGGCGAGCGAGCGAAGCAGGAUCCAGAGUACCACGAGACACGUGAAACCUUGUGGGAACGCGCGGGGACCACCCCGUAAGGCUAAAUACUCCUUAGUGACCGAUAGCGCAUAGUACUGUGAAGGAAAGGUGAAAAGGACCCCGGGAGGGGAGUGAAAGAGAACCUGAAACCCUGUGUCUACAAGCUGUGGAAGCACUUUAUAUGUGCGACCGCGUACUUUUUGUAGAACGGUCCGGCGAGUUACGCUUACUGGCAAGGUUAAGCACUUCAGGUGUGGAGCCGUAGGGAAACCAAGUCUUAAGAGGGCCAGAGUCAGUAGGAGUAGACCCGAAACCGGGUGAUCUAUCCAUGUCCAGGUUGAAGCUGCCGUAAGAGGUAGUGGAGGACCGAACCCACAUCCGUUGAAAAGGGUGGGGAUGAGGUGUGGAUAGGGGAGAAAUUCCAAUCGAACCCGGAGAUAGCUGGUUCUCCUCGAAAUAGCUUUAGGGCUAGCCUCAUGCAAGUCUUACGGAGGUAGAGCACUGAAUUCCUAAGGGGGCGUCAAAGCUUACCAAGGGAUAUCAAACUCCGAAUGCCGUGUAGAUGGUGCAUGGGAGUCAGACUAUCCGAGAUAAGUUGGGUAGUCAAAAGGGAAAGAGCCCAGACCUACAGCUAAGGUCCCAAAAUGUGUGUUAAGUGGAAAAGGAUGUGGGAUUUCGAAGACAACUAGGAUGUUGGCUUAGAAGCAGCCAUCCAUUAAAAGAGUGCGUAAUAGCUCACUAGUCGAGAGGUCCUGCGCCGAAAAUGUCCGGGGCUGAAACACACUACCGAAGCUUAGGAAUUGAUGAAUGUCAAUUGGUAGAGGAGCAUUCUUAACGGGGCGAAGCUGUACCGGAAGGAGCAGUGGACUGUUAAGAAGAGAGAAUGCCGGAAUGAGUAGCGAGAGGAAGGUGAGAAUCCUUCCGGCCGAAUAUCUAAGGUUUCCAGAGUAAAGCUGAUCUGCUCUGGGUAAGUCGGGGCCUAAGGCGAGGUCGAAAGACGUAGUCGAUGGAUAACAGGUAAAGAUUCCUGUACUAUAUCAUAACAGAACUGUGGGGACGCAGACAGAGAGCAUAAGCCGGGAAUGGAAAAACCGGUACAAGCGAGGUAGGAGUGCAUCAGGCAAAUCCGGUGCACAAUCUGAAGACGUGAUGUGGGGCGUAAAGCCGGAAGUAUGUGAGCUGGCUGCCAAGAAAAGCCGCUAUUGUUUAUGAUAUACCCGUACCGUAAACCGACACAGGUGGAUGAGGAGAGAAUCCUAAGGCCGACGGGAGAAGCAUUGUUAAGGAACUCGGCAAAAUGACUCCGUAACUUCGGGAGAAGGAGUGCCAUGUAAAAGUGGCCGCAGAGAAUUGGCCCAAGCAACUGUUUAGCAAAAACACAGGUCUAUGCAAAACCGAAAGGUGAGGUAUAUGGGCUGACGCCUGCCCGGUGCUGGAAGGUUAAGGGGAGAGGUUAGUCGUAAGGCGAAGCUUUGAACUUAAGCCCCAGUAAACGGCGGCCGUAACUAUAACGGUCCUAAGGUAGCGAAAUUCCUUGUCGGGUAAGUUCCGACCC